GUUUAUUUUUGGUUGAGUUCGCGACAGUCAUGCGGUGGAAGCGGCAAACUUUUCCGGAUCUGCACCAACUUUCGGGAACUAAGAACGCGCCUGUUCCAACGGAUUCAAUGCGGAUGGAAAGAAUGUCGCCUCUGCUGCUAUGGAAAAUCGUGUUGACAUCGAUCUCGCUGCAGGACCUGCUGAUCUGAGGCUGACCAGCGUCUGAAUAGACCACCAACUUCCGUGUCACUUACGGUGUAACUUGUUAGGAACUGGCCUGAUGCGCGUUUCGAGUAAAAAGCUACUUAGAUUUGCCACGCCAUUUCACAGGAUCAGCGAUAGUGUUCACGAUUACUCGUGGCCCCCGGCCAUUACGGUUAAUUGAUGCGGAUAUAUCGAUGAGGAUAACGAAUCAUACGGGCUACUCCUAAUAACAACCACUACUAUUAUGAUUAUGCCAUUUAAAUACCUAUCGUUAAAUAUCGAGUUAAAUAUUGGAAAGAAAAUUAAUUGUAUGGGGCUGGGGAUUGGCAUCCUCGUUGGCAUCUAGUUACUCUUUAUCAUCAUAUUUAUUAUCUUAAAUGGCGUAAUCUGAAUCUUAAUUUUCUUUACUCAUAUUCUGUAGAAUAUAGAACACAAAAAUUAGACCAAAUAAAAAUUGUAUGUGUAAUAUUAAUAAAGUUGAAAAUGAUUAAUAAA